GGCCACUCGGAGCGCAGCUUCCCUGAGCCCAGAGCCUCCCCGCGCUCCCAGCGGGCGCCCGGGGGCUCGUGUCCUGCUGCUCUCGCCCAAGGCGGCCGGUCUCGGCCUGCUGCCGGUCCUUGCUGGGUCUGCGCCGCUGCCCGGGAUUCCCUGGAGAGAUUCGCGGCGUCUCCCGAGAGGUGGCGCGCGGUGAGGGCAGUCGAGGUCCCGGCGCCGCGGCCUCCUGCCGGGUACGAAGCCCUGGGAGCGCCUCUCCGCCGCCGCCCGUCGCCCCGGAAGUCGCGCCCUGAGAUUCCGGGCACUUUCUUUUUCUUCUUUGGAAUGGUGUGAUGUCCGCGGUUGUUUUUGUCCUUAUACCUGAAGACGCCACGCUUUUCAAAAGCCAUCAGAAGGCGCGGCCUGCCACCUGGACAAACGCGGUCUCCCCCAGAGCCCGGUUGCGCCCCAAAGCCGGGUUCCAUCCCAUCUCCGACUAAGACACUUCCUGAUUUGCCCCUCGCCAGACUCCAGCAAUUUUCUGGGUCCCCGGGAAGCUGAUUUCGCCUCUGGGCUUCCAUGAUUAGUGGCAGCUGGAGUGCUGCUCCCCAACCUGGGCCCACUUUAGGGUGUGUGGGGCAGGGAGGAGGGUGGGAUCACUCUUAAUCUCGUGUCACAGCUAAAUAAUUUACUCAAGGUCUUCUCUUCCUGCCAGUUCCCUUCCCUGUUCCACUGCCCUUGACUUCCUGCUUUGUGAAGCCCCGGGGAAAGAAAGGCCAACUCUUAAUAAAAGUUAAUAUUAAUAGAGGCCCCAUGCUCCGGGCUUCUCCAACACCUCAUCUUCCCCUCUCACCUCCACCCACUCCACUCAAGCCCCGUUUCCCGGGGAAUUCUUUCAAAACUGGAGAUGGGACUUGUACUUUGGGGUAUAUUCAGGAAACAAGGACGCUUGGGCCACAUUGUGUCUAAACCACAUCCUCCUCCAGUUCCCAUCAGCGCGGAGGGUGGCAAAGGUCGAGCGUGCACACAGUAGCUGCCACACAGAAGCCGCGCUGGUUCCAAAGCAGUCCAGAGAUAAGGGCGGGGGCCAGCCAGCAGGUUCUGCAGGAGAAAUACCUGCUGGAAAGAAGAGGCCGAGCGACUACCAGAGAGGCGGGGAGCAAAAUUUACCAGUGUUCAACAGAUACUUUAAAAAAGGCAACAAACCAAUAUUGUACAAAGAAUACGUAACAGUAUCAAGGUCACUGUUCCCUGAUGUGUGUGCGAAUUCGAGCCUACUGACUUUCCCAUAGCAAAGUCUAGUUUGGUUUGAGCUAAGGGCUUGGACAAACAAUUCCUUCCAAGAAGGUUAAACAACGCAGAAAUGUGAAAAGAAAAAAGUAACUUCUCCAUCCUUUCAAUUCCAUCCCUCUAUUAACAAUGUUAACACUGUUGGAUGUCAUUUCGACAAUUUUUCUGUGCUUACACAAAUACGUAUUACAUUUAAAAUCUGUUCUUUCUUUUCUGUCCUUUAAAAAAAACAAAAAUGAAGUCACACUUUACUCUGUGACUUGCUUUUAUCAUUUAAUAAUAUAUCAUGGAUAUUUCCCCAGGUCAUUACACAUAAAUCACAUCAAUUUUUAAAAUGUCUAUUGCAUUAUGUAAACAAAGAUAUAAUUUUAUCUAUUUAUUCAAUCAUUUCUUUUGAAUAUUUACUAUGUUCUAAGUGCUAGGAAAACAGCAGUAAUCGUCACCAUUAAAAAUCCCUAUUCUCGGGAAACUUAAUUCUAGGGGGAAAAAAUUUUAAAUCAAUUUAUUUAACGAUUUCCUUACAGAUGAACAUUUAAGUUGUUGUCAUUGUUUUGCUAUUACAAACCAUAUGAAGGUAAACUUUUUACAUAUACCCUUUUGUAGUUUUGUAUAUUUAAAGGAUAGAUUUCUUAAAUUUGAAAUGGUGGGUCAAAAAAAGUACAUUUUAAAACUCUAGUAAAGAUAGCCAUUGCUUUCCAAAAAACUUUAGCAAGUCACACAAUUCACAGUCCCCUUGAGUGAGUUUCCCUUUCUUCAUAUCCUCUUUUGCCCUAGACAUUAUCUCUUAAAUUUUUGCCAAUCUGAUGGACAGAAAAUGGUAACCAAUUUAAUUUUUCAUUCUGAAAUUAUUAAGCAGGUUGAGCAUAUUUCAUGUUUAUUGGGCAUUCGCAUUUUGUCUUCGAUGAUUUUUCUUUUCUAGUAAACAGAACCAAAAGAAAUGGAGUGAGUA